rnacentral:misc_RNA from 1 species
GAUGAAGAACGCAGCGAAAUGCGAUACGUAAUGUGAAUUGCAGAAUUCAGUGAAUCAUCGAAUCUUUGAACGCAUAUUGCGCUCUCUGGUAUUCCGGAGAGCAUGCUUGUUUGAGUAUCAGUAAACACCUCAACUUCCAUAUCUUUUUUGAAAUGGGAGUUGGACUUGAGUGAUCCCAACGCUUUUCCUCACCGAAAAGUGGCGGGUUACUUGAAAUGCAGGUGCAGCUGGACUUUUCUCUGAGCUAUAAGCAUAUCUAUUUAGUCUGCCUAAAAAACAGAUUAUUUCCUUUGCUGCAGCUAACAUAAAGGAGAUUAGUUCUUGUGCUGACUGAUGCAGGAUUCACAAAGACGGCUUCGGCCGACUUUGUAAACUCGAUCUCAAAUCAAGUAAGACUACCCGCUGAACUUAAGCAUAUCAAUAAGCGGAGGA